UCCCUGGCAGUUGAGUGGUUAGGACUCGGUGCUUCCAUCUCUGAGGGCCUGGGUUCAAUCCCUGGUUGGGGAA
rnacentral:tRNA from 1 species